rnacentral:lncRNA from 1 species
UUCAACUACCCCAAAAAAAUCUCCUGGAAACUACUCUCUGAAAGAAGUUGGAGAAAAAUUAUUAAUGCACUUGAAGAAGAUCAAGAAAAAAGAAAGCGUGAGUAAUGUUUUGGCUCCAUUAUAGUUUUAUGAGAGCACCAUCACAUAUGCGGUUCGUUGCUGACCAAAACAUUGCCUCAUGCUGGAGAAGAGUAUCCGAGCAUAGUUGCUGCUUCGAGUCACUCCAGGGAGAUCUAAAAUUCCAGGUGUGACCUCACAAGGCAACUUGCAUUCUUAACUCUGUCUCAGCCCCUGAGAACCCUGAGCUUGUUGGAUAACCCAACCUGCAAAACACAGCUCACAGAUUUCUGAGAAGCCUGAAGAUUCAGGAUCAGGACCAUAGUAAGAUAUGAGUGUCUAGGUAGCAUGACAACAGCCAGAACCACUUCUCAACAAUUGUGUGAUGUGUACACAGCUGCUGCAGUCCUGGACACUCAUCACUGCCACCCAUGACUCUGGAAUUGGGUAUUGCUGUGGACAACAAUACUACUUUGUUCUGGGAAAGAAUGCCCCUUCAUCCUUGCUUCUUUGAGUCACUCAAUGGAGAUUCAAGGUCUUCCGCAUCACCUUGGUGUUCUCACUUGCGGUGUGCCCACUGCACGAGCUUUCUGCUAUUCUACUGCACAUUCACAGCUCACUUGGAAGAAACUUUAGUAAGAUUCUUGGAAUCUUUCUCACAGCAGGAAGAGUCCUAAGAGACCGAGCUACUCCUUUUACAAUAAUUGAGACACAGACCGCUGGCAAAUGAAAUUUGCCCCAAAUUUGGAAGACCAUCUCAUAGGCAUGACAACAAAAGACUCAUGUGUUUGUUUUAACUUGGUGUGGUUUUUUUUAAUUAUGGGGGUAGUUUUAUUUAUUUUCAAAUAUGUAGUAGCUACUUGCAUUACUUUUUAAUAAACCACAUGU